rnacentral:rRNA from 1 species
AGCGAACGCUGGCGGCAGGCCUAACACAUGCAAGUCGAACGAAGUCUUCGGACUUAGUGGCGGACGGGUGAGUAACACGUUGGAACGUGCCUUUAGGUCCGGAAUAACUUAGGGAAACUUGUGCUAAUCCUGAACGUGCCCUUCGGGGGAAAGAUUUAUCGCCGUUAGAGCGGCCCGCGUCUGAUUAGUGAGUUGGUGAGGUAAAGGCUCACCAAGGCGACGAACAGUAGCUGGUCGGAGAGGAUGGUCAGCCACAUUGGGACUGAGACACGGCCCAAACUCCUACGGGAGGCAGCAGUGGGGAAUCUUGCGCAAUGGGCGAAAGCCUGACGCAGCCAUGCCGCGUGUAUGAUGAAGGUCUUAGGAUUGUAAAAUUCUUUCACCGGGGACGAUAAUGACGGUACCCGGAGAAGAAGCCCCGGCUAACUUCGUGCCAGCAGCCGCGGUAACAC